rnacentral:rRNA from 1 species
CCUACGGGAGGCUGCAGUGAGGAAUAUUGGUCAAUGGACGAGAGUCUGAACCAGCCAAGUAGCGUGAAGGAUGACUGCCCUAUGGGUUGUAAACUUCUUUUAUAAAGGAAUAAAACGAGGCACGUGUGCCUUUUUGCAUGUACUUUAUGAAUAAGGAUCGGCUAACUCCGUGCCAGCAGCCGCGGUAAUACGGAGGAUCCGAGCGUUAUCCGGAUUUGUUGGGUGUAAAGGGAGCGUAGAUGGGUUGUUAAGUCAGUUGUGAAAGUUUGCGGCUCAACCGUAAAAUUGCAAUUGAUACUGGCAGUCUUGAGUACAGUAGAGGUAGGCGGAAUUCGUGGUGUAGCGGUGAAAUGCUUAGAUAUCACGAAGAACCACGAUUGCGAAGGCAGCUUACUAAACUGUGACUGACAUUGAUGCUCGAAAGUGUGGGUAUCAAACAGGAUUAGAUACCCCAGUAGUC